GACAGAGGGUGCAACCGUUGUUCGGAAUUACUGGGCGUAAAGCGCGUGUAGGCUGCUCUGCAAGUCGGAUGUGAAAGCCCUGGGCUCAACCUAGGAAGUGCAUUCGAAACUGCAGAGUUGGAGUCCUGGAGAGGAAGGCGGAAUUCUCGGUGUAGAGGUGAAAUUCGUAGAUAUCGAGAGGAACACCGGUGGCGAAGGCGGCCUUCUGGACAGUGACUGACGCUGAGACGCGAAAGCGUGGGGAGCAAACAGG
rnacentral:rRNA from 1 species